UCACCUGUUUUUCAAAAACAUGUCUUAAAGAAAUUUUUAAUUUUAAGUCAAAUCUGCUCAAUGAAAAUAAUUUUAAAUAGCUGCAGUAUAUUUAACUGUACUAAGGUAGCAUAAUAAAUUGUUUUUUAAUUUAAAACUAGUAUGAAAGAUUAAAUGAAAUAUAAACUGUCUCAAAUUAAAAAAAUAAAAUUAUUAUUUAAGUAAAAAAACUUAAAUUAAUUUUAAAGACAAGAAGACCCUAAAGAAUUUUUUUAUUUAAAUUCAAUUUUCUUUAAAUUUAAAUAAUUUAAUUGGGGAAAUUUUAAAAUUUAAUUAAUUUUUAAUUAAAAAAACAAUAAUAUUUGAAUUAUUUAAAUUUUUUUAAAAAAAUAAAUUAAAUUACCUUAGGGAUAACAGCAUAAUUUUUUUUAAAAGUUCAAAUUUAUAAAAAAGUUUAUGACCUCG
rnacentral:rRNA from 1 species